rnacentral:rRNA from 1 species
AGGACGAACGCUGGCGGCGUGCUUAACACAUGCAAGUCGAACGGUAAGGCCUUCGGGUACACGAGUGGCGAACGGGUGAGUAACACGUGGGUGAUCUGCCCUGCACUUUGGGAUAAGCCUGGGAAACUGGGUCUAAUACCGAAUAUGACCAUUGGUUGCAUGACUGGUGGUGGAAAGCUUUUGCGGUGUGGGAUGGGCCCGCGGCCUAUCAGCUUGUUGGUGGGGUGAUGGCCUACCAAGGCGACGACGGGUAGCCGGCCUGAGAGGGUGUCCGGCCACACUGGGACUGAGAUACGGCCCAGACUCCUACGGGAGGCAGCAGUGGGGAAUAUUGCACAAUGGGCGCAAGCCUGAUGCAGCGACGCCGCGUGAGGGACGACGGCCUUCGGUUGUAAACCUCUUUCAGCACAGACGAAGCGCAAGUGACGGUAUGUGCAGAAGAGCACCGGCCAACUACGCGCCAGCAGCCGCGGU